UCCCUGGUGGUCCAGUGGUUAAGACUCUGUGCUUCCACUGUAGGAGGCCCGGGUUCCAUCCCUGGUUGGGGAA
rnacentral:tRNA from 1 species